rnacentral:misc_RNA from 1 species
UUCGGAAUUCGGGGGCGGCGCCGCCGCGUACGUACCUGUGUUGCGCGCGCGGACGCGGGUGGAGACGGCGGCCCACGCGCGGCGCGCCGGGGACACCACCUUCUUCCGCCACCACGCCAUGACCGCGCGCACGGGCGCCGGGAUCCUCGCGGCGGCCAGCCUCGACGACGCGCUCCCCUUUGGGUUCCCCUGGCCGCCUCUGCUUCUGACGGCCGCACGGUUGCUCUGCUCUCUGGUGGUGACAAGGUCAGCUGUGGCGGGCAACUGUUCGUCGUUGCUGCUGCUGCUGCUGCUGCUGCUUAUGGAGAGAAAACAGAGGCAGAGCUGCGUCUGUUGGUUCGUUACGGCAGUUUUAUUGGCCUGAGCGCCGCCGACGGCUGCUGCUCAGAAUUU